UACGUAGGCAGCAAGCGUUGUUCGGAAUUACUGGGCGUAAAGAGUGUGUAGGCGGUGCUCCAAGUCUGGUGUGAAAUCUCCCGGCUUAACUGGGAGGGUGCAUUAGAAACUGGAAUGCUAGAGGAUGGGAGAGGUAAGCGGAAUUCCUGGUGUAGUGGUGAAAUGCGUAGAUAUCGGGAGGAACACCUGUGGCGAAAGCGGCUCACUGGACCAUUACUGACGCUGAGGCGCGAAAGCUAGGGGAGCAAACAGG
rnacentral:rRNA from 1 species